CAGCGAAGUUCUGGUUAGGAUCUCCCGCCAGGUUCUGUGACCAUGUUCUCUUGCUAGGUUCUCCAGCCAGGUUUUCCAGGUUCUCCAGCCAAGUUCUGUCACCAGGUUCUCUAGCCAGGUUCUAUCCAGGUUCUCCUGCCAAGUUCUGUCCAGGUUCUCCUGCCAGGUUCUGUAGCCAGGUUCUGUCCAGGUUCUGUUGCCAUGUUCUCUCGCUAGGUUUUCCAGCCAGGUUCUGUCACCAGG